rnacentral:rRNA from 1 species
UAUUCGUAUGUGGUUUCCUAGUGGCGAACGGGUGAGUAACGCGUUGGUGACCUGCCCCGAAGAGGGGAAUAACAACUUGAAAGAGUUGCUAAUACCCCAUAAUAUCAUUAGGGUUAGAGGCCUUAUGAUUAAAGGAGUAAUCCGCUUCGGGAGGGGCCUGCGUCCCAUCAGCUAGUUGGUAGGGUAAUGGCCUACCAAGGCGACGACGGGUAGGGGGCCUGAGAGGGUGGCCCCCCACAAUGGUACUGAAACACGGACCAU